rnacentral:rRNA from 1 species
UGGGGAAUCUUCCGCAAUGGGCGAAAGCCUGACGGAGCAACGCCGCGUGAGUGAAGACGGCCUUCGGGUUGUAAAACUCUGUGAUUCGGGACGAAAGAUAAGCAGACGAAUAAUCUGCAUAAGUGACGGUACCAUAAGAAAAAGCCCCGGCUAACUACGUGCCAGCAGCCGCGGUAAUACGUAGGGGGCUAGCGUUGUCCGGAAUCACUGGGCGUAAAGGGUUCGCAGGCGGAAAUGCAAGUCAGGUGUAAAAGGCAGUAGCUUAACUACUGUAAGCAUUUGAAACUGCAUAUCUUGAGAAGAGUAGAGGUAAGUGGAAUUUUUAGUGUAGCGGUGAAAUGCGUAGAUAUUAAAAAGAAUACCGGUGGCGAAGGCGACUUACUGGGCUCAUUCUGACGCUGAGGAACGAAAGCGUGGGUAGCAAACAGG